CCCUGGGCCGUGCCUCCAGGACUGUCCAACCUGAGAAUGCUGUGUCCAGGUCAGUCUCAGGUUUGUCAGCCUGUGAGGUGCUGCCCUUUC
rfam:Heterocephalus glaber contig230150, whole genome shotgun sequence.